UCAUAGCUUCUCUUAUAGUUUACCGAAAUUGUUUAUCUGUACUUGGGAUGGUGAUCUUCGUCAUUGGAGGAGCCGUGCCUGAGAGAGACAACCAAACCAACGUGCGACAGAAAAGGCUAUUCAGCAUCUUCAACAUCGUCACCUUUAAGAACGAGGCUUGUACAUCAACUGGGGCAGGAAAUGACGUUGGAACCUGUCUGACUUCCGGUGAAUGCACAUCCAAAGGUGGAUCUGCGUCCGGCAAUUGCGCCGCAGGCAAUUAUUGAUACAAUACUUAUUUUUCAAGCAUUAUGAAUAGAAACCG